AAGUCGUAACAAGGUUUCCGUAGGUGAACCUGCGGAAGGAUCAUUAACACGUAUCCAACGUUAAACCCCCCGUGCACACAGCGACCUGCUCCCCUCAAUUUCGGUCUUUUGGCAAUCCCUGGUAAAUCAUCGCCGAACAGUUUUGAUUCAGGGACAUCCAAAGGGCCGGGGUAGGGUAUUAAAGUAGUAGUCAAUGCAAAGCAACCUGGUUUCUUUGAAGCAGAAAGUGUGAUGGCGUGAGCCGGAGAACGGACUUGAACAACUGUUAACAAUGGAUAUCUUGGUUCUC
rnacentral:misc_RNA from 1 species